AUGACCUCAGACUAGGCCAAAGGUUCAGCUUCCAAGAGUACAAUGACUCUAAAUGACACAAGCAUGGCUCAGGGACAUCUCUGUAAAUGUCCUUGUGUGGCCCAGCCACAGCCUGGAGUAGGACUCAAUCGAAUAUUUCUGGAGAGACCUGAAAAUGGCUGUCCACCAAAGGACCCAUCCAACCUAACAGAACUCAGAAGGAUCUGCAGGGAUGAAUGACAUAAACUACCCAAAUGCACGUCUGCAAAACUUCU